rnacentral:rRNA from 1 species
GACGAACGCUGGCGGCGUGCUUAACACAUGCAAGUCGAACGGUGAAGCUCCAGCUUGCUGGAGUGGAUCAGUGGCGAACGGGUGAGUAACACGUGAGCAACCUGCCCCUGACUCUGGAAUAAGCGCUGGAAACGGCGUCUAAUACUGGAUACGAGAAGGGUCCGCAUGGGCACUUUCUGGAAAGUUUUUCGGUUGGGGAUGGGCUCGCGGCCUAUCAGCUUGUUGGUGAGGUAAUGUCUCACCAAGGCGACGACGGGUAGCCGGCCUGAGAGGGCGACCGGCCACACUGGGACUGAGACACGGCCCAGACUCCUACGGGAGGCAGCAGUGGGGAAUAUUGCACAAUGGGCGAAAGCCUGAUGCAGCGACGCCGCGUGAGGGAUGACGGCCUUCGGGUUGUAAACCUCUUUCAGCAGGGAAGAAGCGAAAGUGACGGUACCUGCAGAAGAAGCACCGGCUAACUACGUG